GACGAACGCUGGCGGCGUGCCUAAUACAUGCAAGUCGAACGAGAGCAACCGGUGCUUGCACUGGUCAAUCUAGUGGCGAACGGGUGAGUAACACGUGGUUAACCUGCCCAUCAGAGGGGGAUAACAUCCGGAAACGGAUGCUAAAACCGCAUAGGUCUUCGACCCUCAUGGUUUGAAGAGGAAAUGAGGCGCAUGCUUCUGCUGAUGGCUGGACCCGCGGUGCAUUAGCUAGUUGGUGAGGUAACGGCUCACCAAGGCCGUGAUGCAUAGCCGACCUGAGAGGGUGGACGGACACAUGGGGAGUGAGACACAGCAGCAACUCCGACAGGGGGAAGCAGUAGGGAAUCUUACGGGAGGGAGGCAAGGGGGACGGAGGAACGCCGCGGGAGUGAAGAAGGAUUACGGAUCGGAAAACGAUGAUGUUAGAGAAGAACAAGUGCUAGAGUAACUGUGAGGGCAAUGACGGUAUCUAACCAGAAAGCCACGGCUAACUACGUG
rnacentral:rRNA from 1 species